rnacentral:rRNA from 1 species
ACAGCAGCAGCCGCGGGAAUACGGAGGGUGCAAGCGUUAUCCGGAUUUAUUGGGUUUAAAGGGUCCGUAGGCGGAUCUGUAAGUCAGUGGUGAAAUCUCACAGCUUAACUGUGAAACUGCCAUUGAUACUGCAGGUCUUGAGUAAAUUUGAAGUGGCUGGAAUAAGUAGUGUAGCGGUGAAAUGCAUAGAUAUUACUUAGAACACCAAUUGCGAAGGCAGGUCACUAAGAUUUAACUGACGCUGAUGGACGAAAGCGUGGGGAGCGAACAGGAUUAGAUACCCCGGUAGUCCCUGUCUCUUAUAC